UACAGCCAUAUCACGUUGAAACACUACGUACCCGUACGAUUACCGAAGUUAAGCAACGUUGAGUUUGGUGACUACCUAGAUGGGUGACCACUUGGGAAUACCAGGUGCUGUAA